GAGGAAAGUCCGGACUCCUGAUAGAAAUUAAUUGUUGAAUAAAAUUCAAUAUAAGUAAUUAUGAGGAUAGUGCCACAGAAAAAUACCACCUUAAUAUAUAUAAGGUAAGGGUGCAAAGGUGUAUUAAAAGUGCACCAGAAGUAUUGUUAAGAUACUUGCUAGGUAAACCCCAUUAAGGAGCAAAGAUGUAAGCUGGUAAUCAUCUAUAAAGACAAAUUGGUUAAUUUUGAUAAUUAAUUUAAUUUACUUAUAAUUAAAUACCGCAUUAAGUAGGAUACAGUAUAAAAAUUCUACUUUAGAUCAAUAACUACCCUUUGCCCUGUUCGUCAAUAGAAUGUAAUAGGUUAAAGAACAGAAUCCGGCUUAU
rnacentral:RNase_P_RNA from 1 species